rnacentral:lncRNA from 13 species
AUGGUUAUCCCACAGGACUGCUCAUCCCACAGGACUGGUUAUCCCACAGGACUGGUUGUCCCACAGGACUGGUUACCCUGCAGGGCUGGUUAUCCCACAAGAUGGUUAUCCCACAGGAUGGUUAUCUCACAGGAUGGUUAUCCCACAGGAUGGUUAUCCCACAGGAUGGUUAUCUCACAGGAUGGUUAUCCCACAGGACUGGUUAUCCCACAGGACUGUCAUCCCACAGGAUGGUUAUCCCACAGGAUGGUUAUCCCACAGGACUGUCAUCCCACAGGACUGCUCAUCCCACAGGAUGGUUAUCCCACAGGAUGGUUAUCCCACAGGAUGGUUAUCCCACAGGAUGGUUAUCUCACAGGACUGGUUAUCUCACAGGACUGGUUAUCCCACAGGACUGGUUAUCCCACAGGAUGGUUAUCCCACAGGAUGGUUAUCUCACAGGAUGGUUAUCUCACAGGAUGGUUAUCUCACAGGAUGGUUAUCCCACAGGACUGGUUAUCCCACAGGACUGUCAUCCCACAGGAUGGUUAUCUCACAGGAUGGUUAUCUCACAGGAUGGUUAUCCCACAGGACUGGUUAUCCCACAGGACUGUCAUCCCACAGGAUGGUUAUCCCACAGGACUGUCAUCCCACAGGACUGCUCAUCCCAUGCAAGCCAGUGCUGCGGCUGCCUGGCUUCCCUGCCUCCCGCAUACUGACGUGUGA